GUACAAGGCUAAAUAGGGCCCUGGGAUGAGGCACCUGUGACAGGGAGGGGUGCAAAACCAAGGAGUUGGCUAGACUCCAAAAUAUUGUUAUUAUUGUUUGGCCCCCAGCGGCACCCCCAUUUGUGCAUGUUAAGGUGAGUGCAGCCAACCCCCUCUUGUUUUAUAUAUAUUUUGGAGUCUAGCCAACUCCUUGGUUUUGCACCCCUCCCUGUCACAGGUGCCUCAUCCCAGGGCCCUAUUUAGCCUUGUACU